rnacentral:rRNA from 1 species
UACGUAGGCAGCGAGCGUUGUUCGGAGUUACUGGGCGUAAAGCGUGCGUAGGCGGUGGCCCAAGUCUGGUGUGAAAUCUCCCGGCUCAACCGGGAGGUGCGCCGGAAACUGGGUCGCUCGAGUACUGGAGAGGCAAGCGGAAUUCCUGGUGUAGCGGUGAAAUGCGUAGAUAUCAGGAGGAACACCCGUGGUGUAGACGGCUUGCUGGACAGUCACUGACGCUGAGGCACGAAAGCGUGGGGAGCAAACAGG